CAGCCGCCGCGGUAAUACGGAGGGCGCGAGCGUUGUCCGGAUUCACUGGGCGUAAAGGGUGUGUAGGUGGCUGCCAUAGUCGGGCGUGAAAUCCCGGGGCUUAACCUCGGGUUUGCGUUCGAUACUUGGUGGCUGGAGUGCGGGAGAGGGAAGUGGAAUUCCCGGUGUAGCGGUGAAAUGCGUAGAUAUCGGGAGGAACGCCGGUGGCGAAGGCGGCUUCCUGGCCCGUUACUGACGCUGAGGCACGAAAGCCAGGGGAGCGAACCGGAUUAGAUACCCGGGUAGUCCUGGCUGUAAACCAUGGGCGCUAGGUGUGGGUGGUGGUGAGCCAUCUGUGCCGAAGCUAACGCGUUAAGCGCCCCGCCUGGGGAGUACGGCCGCAAGGUUGAAACUUAAAGGAAUUGGCGGG
rnacentral:rRNA from 1 species